UACCCGCUGAACUUAAGCAUAUCA
rnacentral:rRNA from 1 species